rnacentral:tRNA from 1 species
GGACUCGUAGCUCAGUGGUAGAGCGCUUCGUUGACAUCGAAGAGGCCAGAGGUUCGAUACCUCUCGAGUCCACAA